AUCCAAGUGACGAGCCGUAAAUAGGACGAAACACACGUCCUGGAU
rnacentral:hammerhead_ribozyme from 1 species